AGACCCGAAACCCGGUGAUCUAGCCAUGGGCAGGUUGAAGGUUGGGUAACACUAACUGGAGGACCGAACCGACUAAUGUUGAAAAAUUAGCGGAUGACCUGUGGCUGGGGGUGAAAGGCCAAUCAAACCGGGAGAUAGCUGGUUCUCCCCGAAAGCUAUUUAGGUAGCGCCUCGUGAAUUCAUCUCCGGGGGUAGAGCACUGUUUCGGCUAGGGGGCCAUCCCGGCUUACCAACCCGAUGCAAACUGCGAAUACCGGAGAAUGUUAUCACGGGAGACACACGGCGGGUGCUAACGUCCGUCGUGAAGAGGGAAACAACCCAGACCGCCAGCUAAGGUCCCAAAGUCAUGGUUAAGUGGGAAACGAUGUGGGAAGGCCCAGACAGCCAGGAUGUUGGCUUAGAAGCAGCCAUCAUUUAAAGAAAGCGUAAUAGCUCACUGGUCGAGUCGGCCUGCGCGGAAGAUGUAACGGGGCUAAACCAUGCACCGAAGCUGCGGCAGCG
rnacentral:rRNA from 4 species